CCUGAAAAUGGAUGGCGCUAAGCGUCGUGCCUAUACCGGGCCGUCAACGGCACAGUGGGCCUCUGCCUUUGGGCAAGAGCCGUUACGCCUUGACGAGUAGGAGGGUCGCGGCGGUGUGCGCAGAAGGGUCUGGGCGUGAGCCUGCCUGGAGCCGCCGUCGGCGCAGAUCUUGGUGGUAGUAGCAAAUACUCUAGAGAGGGCCUGGAGAGCCGAUGUGGAGAAGGGUUUCUUGUGAACAGCCGUUGUACAAGAGUAAGUCGAUCCUAAGUGCUAGGAGAAAUCCGAUGUUGAUGGUCUGGCUGUCGACUUCUAUUCUCAACACUUUGAAAACGCUUUAGGCUUCCGGGCCGUAAAAGCGUAUGUUCUUUCUUGUCAUGCACUCUAUAGAAUCAUCAUUCUGCGUGAAUGUCUUUACAUUCAUGCUGGUAUCCUUCAGUGGACCAGCCUGGGAGUGAAAUGAUAUAUUUAGUGUGGAUUUUCUCAGGUGUGUUUUCCGGCGGACUAGUCCGUACGGUUCUGAACGACUACCUUUUUCUCACACUAGUGUGAUUUCGUUUCUCAUGUCAGAGAAAGUCCAAGCUCUACGACACAUUGUUGUCGUGCUAGCCAUGCAAAAGCGUUGGCACUAGCCUAGGAGCUUUUGUUCAAGAAAGAACGAUGUGUUAUCCUUUAGCCCGUUGAAGGGCGAAAGGGGAUCCGGUCAACAUUCCGGAACCCGGCUGCGUAAACCGCUCUCUGUUGGCAUUAGCCGGCGAGCGCUUUGUUGGGGUAACCCAAGCUGUCCCGGAGACUCUGGCGGGGGGUCUGGGAAGAGUUCUCUUUUCUUUUUAAGCGUUCGUGGACCCUGGAAUUCUAUAGCAGAGAGAUAGGGUUUGGAACGCGAAAAACAUCGCAGUUGCGGCGGUGACCGGACUUCCCCCCCGGACCUUGAAAAUCUGGGUGAGAGCGACGCGGUGAUCGCGCCGGUUCGUAUCCAUAUCCGCAUCUGGUCUCCAAGGUCAAAGCCUCUGUCGA
rnacentral:rRNA from 1 species